rnacentral:rRNA from 1 species
GACGAACGCUGGCGGCGUGCUUAACACAUGCAAGUCGAACGGUAAGGCCCUUCGGGGUACACGAGUGGCGAACGGGUGAGUAACACGUGGGUGAUCUGCCCUGCACUUCGGGAUAAGCCUGGGAAACUGGGUCUAAUACCGGAUAGGACCACUGCCCGCAUGGGUGGUGGUGGAAAGCUUUUGCGGUGUGGGAUGGGCCCGCGGCCUAUCAGCUUGUUGGUGGGGUGAUGGCCUACCAAGGCGACGACGGGUAGCCGGCCUGGGAGGGUGACCGGCAACACUGGGACUGAGAUACGGCCCAGACUCCUACGGGAGGCAGCAGUGGGGAAUAUUGCACAAUGGGCGCAAGCCUGAUGCAGCGACGCCGCGUGAGGGAUGACGGCCUUCGGGUUGUAAACCUCUUUCAGCACCGACGAAGCGCAAGUGACGGUAGGUGCAGAAGAAGGACCGGCCAACUACGUGCCAGCCGCCGCGGUAA